UCGAGCGAAUGGAUUAAGAGCUUGCUCUUAUGAAGUUAGCGGCGGACGGGUGAGUAACACGUGGGUAACCUGCCCAUAAGACUGGGAUAACUCCGGGAAACCGGGGCUAAUACCGGAUAACAUUUUGAACCGCAUGGUUCGAAAUUGAAAGGCGGCUUCGGCUGUCACUUAUGGAUGGACCCGCGUCGCAUUAGCUAGUUGGUGAGGUAACGGCUCACCAAGGCAACGAUGCGUAGCCGACCUGAGAGGGUGAUCGGCCACACUGGGACUGAGACACGGCCCAGACUCCUACGGGAGGCAGCAGUAGGGAAUCUUCCGCAAUGGACGAAAGUCUGACGGAGCAACGCCGCGUGAGUGAUGAAGGCUUUCGGGUCGUAAAACUCUGUUGUUAGGGAAGAACAAGUGCUAGUUGAAUAAGCUGGCACCUUGACGGUACCUAACCAGAAAGCCACGGCUAACUACGUGCCAGCAGCCGCGGUAAUACGUAGGUGGCAAGCGUUAUCCGGAAUUAUUGGGCGUAAAGCGCGCGCAGGUGGUUUCUUAAGUCUGAUGUGAAAGCCCACGGCUCAACCGUGGAGGGUCAUUGGAAACUGGGAGACUUGAGUGCAGAAGAGGAAAGUGGAAUUCCAUGUGUAGCGGUGAAAUGCGUAGAGAUAUGGA
rnacentral:rRNA from 1 species